CGAACCCACGUACGUUGAAAAGUGCGGGGAUGAGGUGUGGGUAGCGGAGAAAUUCCAAACGAACUUGGAGAUAGCUGGUUCUCUCCGAAAUAGCUUUAGGGCUAGCCUCGGAAUUGAGAAUGAUGGAGGUAGAGCACUGUUUGGACUAGGGGCCCAUCUCGGGUUACCGAAUUCAGAUAAACUCCGAAUGCCAUUCAUUCAUAUCCGGGAGUCAGACUGUGAGUGAUAAGAUCCAUAGUCGAAAGGGAAACAGCCCAGACCACCAGCUAAGGUCCCAAAAUAUAUGUUAAGUGGAAAAGGAUGUGGGGUUGCACAGACAACUAGGAUGUUGGCUUAGAAGCAGCCACCAUUUAAA
rnacentral:rRNA from 1 species